UCCGUAGGCGGUGUGGCAAGUCGGAAGUGAAAUCUCUGGGCUUAACUCAGAGGCUGCUCCCGAAACGUGCCAUGCUAGAGUGUGAGAGAGGCGAGUGGAAUUGCGGGUGUAGCGGUGAAAUGCGUAGAUAUCCGCAGGAACAUCCGAGGCGAAAGCGGCUCGCUGGAUCGCAACUGACGCUGAGGGACGAAAGCUAGGGGAGCAAACAGGAUUAGAUACCCUGGUAGUCCUAGCCCUAAACCAUCAGGACUUGGGGUUUGCCCUGUACGGGCAAGUCCCGUAGCUAACGCGUUAAGUCCUGCGCCUGGGGAUACGGUCGCAAGGCUGAA
rnacentral:rRNA from 1 species